rnacentral:rRNA from 1 species
UACCUAUGGGGGGCAGCAGUCGAGAAUCAUUCACAAUGGGGGAAACCCUGAUGGUGCGACGCCGCGUGGGGGAAUGAAGGUCUUCGGAUUGUAAACCCCUGUCAUGUGGGAGCAAAUUAAAAAGAUAGUACCUCAGGAGGAAGCUCCGGCUAACUAUGUGCCAGCAGCCGCGGUAAUACAUAGGGAGCAAGCGUUAUCCGGAUUUAUUGGGUGUAAAGGGUGCGUAGACGGGAAAUUAAGUUAGUUGUGAAAUCCCUCGGCUUAACUGAGGAACUGCAACUAAAACUGGUUUUCUUGAGUACUGG